AAACACAGCAUUUCGGCUGGUGUCGCUGCUCCAGGGAAAGUUCUGUUACUCCACUGACUCUCUCUUUUCCUGAUAACAUGGCCAGCAAGAAAGUAAUUACAGUGUUUGGAGCAACAGGAGCUCAAGGUGGCUCUGUGGCCAGGGCAAUUUUGGAGAGCAAAAAAUUUGCAGUGAGAGCAGUGACCAGGGAUGUGACUUGACCAAAUGCCCUGGAGCUCCAGCGCCUUGGAGCUGAGGUGGUCAAAGGUGACCUGAAUGAUAAAGCAUCGGUGGACAGUGCCUUAAAAGGGGAAGCUGGUGGCAGACUCCGCCAAGCACCUGGGUCUGAAGCACGUGGUGUACAGCGGCCUGGAGAACGUCAAGCGACUGACGGAUGGCAAGCUGGAGGUGCCGCACUUUGACAGCAAGGGCGAGGUGGAGGAGUACUUCUGGUCCAUUGGCAUCCCCAUGACCAGUGUCCGCGUGGCGGCCUACUUUGAAAACUUUCUCGCGGCGUGGCGGCCCGUGAAAGCCUCUGAUGGAGAUUACUACACCUUGGCUGUACCGAUGGGAGAUGUACCAAUGGAUGGUA
ensembl:lncRNA NMRAL2P NmrA like redox sensor 2, pseudogene